rnacentral:lncRNA from 1 species
GGAAGUAUUAAAACAAGUGAAUGAUAAAUAUGAUAAAGUUACAAUCUUGUAGUUUUCUACAAUAUUAGCAUUUAUAAAAUUAUACUGGUAUAAAUAUAGCAUUAUAAAUUUAUAAUUUAAAGUGUGAAAUGUUAAUUCAUAUAAACACUAAAUCAAGAUGGAUAGAACUUUUGGAAGUGUUAAACACUCAAAAUGGAUAAAAUAUAGAAUCUAAUUUUUGCAUGUCAUAUUUGUCCCUAAUGAGCAAAUCAGAAUAAAAUAAGAAAACUAUUGGCACUUUACGUCAGUGCUAAUUAUAGGUUCUAAAUCAAUACUGCUGAUUAAUAUAAACUGACUUGUAAUUUUUAAUUUAUACAAUGUAUAACCACAUACUAUUUCAGUUGCAGAUCUCAUGGAUUCUAUUUUUAAACUAUACUACUUAAUUUGGAUUUCUCCCUAAGGUUUUAGAAUUGGGAAAAAGAAUUGGCAUAGCUUUAAAAGCAGAACUGCUUUUAGCAAUUAUGUUGAAAGGUCCUUGUCUAUGUUUCCCAUCAUUCAAAUAACUCAGUUAAUUUUCAAUACUUUUGUGGACAAUCUGAAUCUUAUGUAUUUCUUUUAAUUAAAUAAUUAUUUUUAUUUUCACAUGCGCCUGAUUAAAUAUUGUGCAUCAUUUUAACAUUGUAUUUACUUGUCUAUUCUGCUUGUAUGAAUAGUGAAUCAUAACUUUUUGACUAAUCGGUAACUAUAGACUGUAGACUAUGUACUAUAUAGUACAGACAGUGAUGUUGCCUUUUCAUUAUUGCAUCAAAUUGCAAAAAUUAAAUUGGACCUAUAUUUUCAGAGCUUAAUCAGAGAUAAAACUCAGAUAAUUUGCUUAUCCUUUCUGAUCUAUUUUAAAUGGAUUUUUCUAUUUACCCGUGAAUUCUUCAUGUAUUUGCUAUAUAAUAUUCGUUUGGUUAUUUAACAUAGAUUUGUUAGGUAUCUUUAAUAGGCUUAGUACUAAUGAUCCUAUUUUCUAAAUAAACAAAAAAAUAGGAUACAUGCUCUGACAAAUAUAUUUUUGGUGACAGUGCUUUUGAAUUACAGAGAGAGGACCAUCCUGAACACAAUGUUGCCAAAACAAGUUACUUGAAAAAAAAAAAUAGACAUCAUAUAAAACAACAAUAAAAAGUGAUUUCUUGAAUAUAUACUGUGUGCCAGGCACUUUAUCUAUAGUAUGCCUAACCCUUAUAGCAAAUGUGCAAGGUUGGUGCUAUUGUUUCCAUUGUAUACUUACAGAAUUCUGCUGAGGUUUAGGGUGGAAGUGAGGUGGUUAUGUAACUUGCCUAAGAUCAAAUGGCUGGUAUGUGCUAAAGCUGGGUCUCAAACUCAGAGCUGGUCUAACAUCAAAGCCUAUGAUGAUCUAGUAUCUCUUAGCAUACAGAUAUUCGUGGUUAAGAAAGGAUGAGGAAGGGAAUCAGCAGUCAGAUAGAUCUGGGUUGACUAUUGGCUAUUUCAUUUUUUUUUUAAUUUUUUAUUUAUUUAUGAUAGUCACACAGAGAGAAAGAGAGAGGCAGAGACACA